rnacentral:lncRNA from 1 species
GUUCAGCAACAACCUUUCAAUACAAUGCCUAAGUUUUAAAUAAAGGCAGGCUCCACCUCUGUGCAUGCCACACUCAGCCUCACUGACUGUGCUGUUAUUCCCUGUAUGUUCCCUCUUCCCAGCAGAUCCAUUCUCUGCCCUCCUCUGCCCAGUUCUGGUUUCCCCUGGGCAAGCUGGUCCCUAAGGGCUGCAUCGAUGGGCUUCUUUGUCUUCUGGCUUCCAGCUGGACUCAGCCAUUAGGAGGCACCUGUUAGAAACUGGAGGGUGGGAGGAAGGAAAGGUUGGCGUAUUUCUCUCCCCACUCCAUCUGUUCUCAUCAUCUACUAGAAGGAGACCCUGGAGUUGGAGCAUUUGGGGCCACUUGGGCCCAGCUUUGUUACAGAUCUGAGGAGUUCAAGUGGGGAGCUGCACACCUGUGCCAGGUUCUUUCAGCAUUCUGAGGACAGGAUGGAACCUGAAGAAGCUGGAAGAGCAGGCCCGCCAGGGGAGACUUCCUCCUCACCCCCUAAGUAAGCUGUGCUCACUUCUAUUCAGUCCUCACCACCUGUUGAUUACAUUUCAUGCCUGUCAGACUGCAGAUUUGAAAAGCUGGAAGGAACAUUCACCGUGUAAAAGAAAACACACCCUGGGGCCCAGAGGAGUUAGUCCUCUCCGCCCACUCUCCCGGGCGGGGGGUGGGGGGGGGUGGUGUUCAGGAGGCAGUGGGUGGAGGAGGAUGUGGAGGGGAAGAUAGACAGACCUCCUCAGAAAAAGGAAAGUUCCUGGGUGACAGAAACGUGAAAAAACAAGGGCAAAGCGAAGUGAGGAGUGAGCAUAACACAGGAAGGCAGAAAAAGCAACUGUGCCCUGAGGGACACCCAGGAGGGGUCCAGGGGGCGUGAGGAGAGAAAAGCAGGUGAGAAGCAAGCAACACAGCAAGGCAUCGAGCCCCUGCAGUGAACACCAUUCCCCUGGUGGCUAUUGGAGGGCUGUGAAAACUCCUUCUCAGUUUAAAGCAGGAAGAAAAUGAAUCUAACUGGGGAUGGUUUUAGGUGUUGCCCCUUUAUCUUAUGCUUAGACUGUUAGUUGAAUUUAGAAUUCUCUACUUGGCCUUUAGAUUCUCUCGCCAUGGAUUCCACAACACCCCUGUGGUCCAACAGGGGAGAAAGACAUGCAAAAUAAUGUGCAUAAUUACAGAAAUCCGUACAACCCAGAGAAUGGU